rnacentral:rRNA from 1 species
AUUGAACGCUGGCGGCAGGCCUAACACAUGCAAGUCGAGCGAGUGGCGGACGGGUGAGUAAUGUCUGGGAAACUGCCUGAUGGAGGGGGAUAACUACUGGAAACGGUAGCUAAUACCGCAUACCAUCGGAUGUGCCCAGAUGGGAUUAGCUAGUAGGUGGGGUAAAGGCUCACCUAGGCGACGCUCCCUAGCUGGUCUGAGAGGAUGACCAGCCACCCUGGAACUGAGACACGGUCCAGACUCCUACGGGAGGCAGCAGUGGGGAAUAUUGCACAAUGGGCGCAAGCCUGAUGCAGCCAUGCCGCGUGUGUGAAGAAGGCCUUCGGGUUGUAAAGCACUUUCAGCGGGGAGGCGUUACUCGCAGAAGAAGCACCGGCUAACUCCGUGCCAGCAGCCGCGGUAAUUC